rnacentral:rRNA from 1 species
GACGAACGCUGGCGGCGCGCUUAACACAUGCAAGUCGAACGGAAAGGCCUGCUUUCCCUUGUGGAUUGCGGGUACUCGAGUGGCGAACGGGUGAGUAACACGUGAGUGAUCUGCCCCCAACUUGGGUAUAAGCCUGGGAAACUGGGUCUAAUUCCCGAUAGGACUGCAGGGUGGUGCCUGUGGUGGAAAACGAUUUUCUAGUGGUUGGGGAUGGGCUCGCGGCCUAUCAGCUUGUUGGUGGGGUCAUGGCCUACCAAGGCGGCGACGGGUAGCCGGCCUGAGAGGGUGGACGGCCCCAGUGGGACUGAGAUACGGCCCGGACUGCUACGGGAGGCAGCAGUGGGGAAUAUUGCACAAUGGGCGGAAGCCUGAUGCAGCGACGCCGCGUGGGGGAUGACGGCCUUCGGGUUGUAAACUCCUUUCGACCGCGAGGAAGCCACCUGGUUGGAAGGGUGGUGACGGUAGUGGUAGAAGAAGCACCGGCUAACUACGUG